UGUAAACAUCUUUGACUGGAAGCUGAGUCACUAUAGAUGGCUUUCAGUCCGAUGUUUGCA
rnacentral:pre_miRNA from 1 species